rnacentral:lncRNA from 1 species
CCCUGUCACUCCUAGGACUUCUUGUGAUCAGUCACACUAUGUCUCUUCUUUCACCAUUCAUCCUAGAAAGUCUGCCAGCAAGUCCCUCUCUUCUAAUUCUGAAGUCAUCUCCUUGUUUGAAGACCUUAAACAGCAUGUUAUGCUUAUUGAAGAUGGUCUCAUGAUGACCAUGACCCCUACCCAACAAUCUUCUUUCAUUGAAAAAAGGAACCUUCUUGUGCCUUCAAUACCU